UACGAAGGGGGCUAGCGUUGCUCGGAAUCACUGGGCGUAAAGCGCACGUAGGCGGAUCUUUAAGUCAGGGGUGAAAUCCCGGGGCUCAACCCCGGAACUGCCUUUGAUACUGGCAUUCUCGAGUCCGGAAGAGGUGAGUGGAAUUCCGAGUGUAGAGGUGAAAUUCGUAGAUAUUCGGAGGAACACCAGUGGCGAAGGCGGCUCACUGGUCCGGUACUGACGCUGAGGUGCGAAAGCGUGGGGAGCAAACAGG
rnacentral:rRNA from 1 species